AUACGGAGGGUCCAAGCGUUAAUCGGAAUUACUGGGCGUAAAGCGUACGUAGGUGGCUUGAUUAGUCGGAUGUGAAAGCCCUGGGCUCAACCUGGGAACUGCAUUCGAUACUGUCUGGCUAGAGUAUAGUAGAGGGAAGUGGAAUUCCGGGUGUAGCGGUGAAAUGCGUAGAUAUCCGGAGGAACACCAGUGGCGAAGGCGGCUUCCUGGACUAAUACUGACACUGAGGUACGAAAGCGUGGGGAGCAAACAGGAUUAGAAACCCGGGUAGUCC
rnacentral:rRNA from 1 species